UACGUAGGGGGCUAGCGUUGUCCGGAAUCAUUGGGCGUAAAGCGCGUGUAGGCGGCCCGGUAAGUCCGCUGUGAAAGUCGGGGGCUCAACCCUCGGAUGCCGGUGGAUACUGUCGGGCUAGAGUGCGGAAGAGGCGAGUGGAAUUCCUGGUGUAGCGGUGAAAUGCGUAGAGAUGCGGCGGAACACCGAUGGCGAAGGCAGCCCCCUGGGCUGAGAUUGACGCUCAGGCACGAAAGCGUGGGGAGCAAACAGG
rnacentral:rRNA from 1 species